UGACAAGAUGGCCUCUCAUGAUGACUCCAUUCUUCCUGAAGAGCUAGUUUGAUGAGCUGAAUCCUCUGAGAAGUUGGCUGAAGAGGCUGACCACCU